rnacentral:tRNA from 2 species
GCGGAAGUGGUGGAAUUGGCAGACACACCAUCUUGAGGGGGUGGCGGCGCAAGCCAUGCGGGUUCAAGUCCCGCCUUCCGCACCA